GGACGAACGCUGGCGGCGUGCCUAACACAUGCAAGUCGAGCGAAGUACUUAUCAAUAAGCCUUCGGGCAGAUUGAUAAGCUACUUAGCGGCGGAUGGGUGAGUAACGCGUGAGGGACCUGCCUUCCACAAGGGGAUAGCCUCGGGAAACCGGGAUUAAUACCCUAUGACACUUAAAGGUCCCAUGACUUUUAAGUUAAAGCGUUAGCGGUGGAAGAUGGCCUCGCGUCCCAUUAGCUAGUUGGUGAGGUAACGGCUCACCAAGGCCACGAUGGGUAGCCGGCUUGAGAGAGUGACCGGCCACACUGGAACUGAGACACGGUCCAGACUCCUACGGGAGGCAGCAGUGGGGAAUAUUGCACAAUGGAGGGAACUCUGAUGCAGCGACGCCGCGUGAGCGAUGAAGGCCUUCGGGUCGUAAAGCUCUGUCCUAUGGGACGAUAAUGACGGUACCAUAGGAGGAAGCCCCGGCUAACUACGUGCCAGCAGCCGCGGUAAUACGUAGGGGGCGAGCGUUGUCCGGAAUUACUGGGCGUAAAGGGUACGCAGGCGGUCAUGUAAGUCAGAUGUGAAAUCCUAAGGCUUAACCUUAGUAAGCAUUUGAAACUGCGUGGCUUGAGUUAAGGAGAGGAAAGUGGAAUUCCUGGUGUAGCGGUGAAAUGCGUAGAUAUCAGGAGGAAUACCAGUGGCGAAGGCGACUUUCUGGCCUUAAAGUGACGCUGAUGUACGAAAGCGUGGGGAGCAAACAGGAUUAGAUACCCUGGUAGUCCACGCUGUAAACGAUGGGUACUAGGUGUAGGAGGUUUCGAUACCUUCUGUGCCGGAGUUAACGCAUUAAGUACCCCGCCUGGGGAGUACGUUCGCAAGAAUG
rnacentral:rRNA from 1 species